UAUAUUAAAGUGUAAGAAGCACAUUAUUUUUUGAAAUUAAAAGAAUUAGUUUGAUUCUAAUUAAUAUAA
rnacentral:tRNA from 1 species